UUCUCAUUUCGCGGUUGAAGGUUAAAAGAAUCACAUGGUAGAACUACAUGGCAGACGUUAAAACACCAGGAUACUACUACUACUACUACAAGAGUAAUAGAGUUUUAAAUAAUUAGAGAGAGAGAGGGUCUUAUGUAUGUGCCAAACUUCUUGGCUGUAAAGUCAUCUGGCCAGUAAUGGUGGUCGAAGUUCAUGAUAGGCCUGCUGGUAAUUUGACAGUAUGCGACGUUUAUAGUCAUUCUGAUGAUUCAGAAUUUAGUGUCAAUAGUCACAGUGUGUUUUCGUUCGAAAAAAACUGGAUUGAAAGAGACUGGUUUAGCUUAUACAGACUGAAGGAGUUUGAGAUUAGACUGGGUUCUACAUGUGGCUGUGAUGAAGCAGGUUUUACAUCAGCUACACCAUGUUAUAAAGACCAUACAUCAACAGCACGGUCUGUUUAUACCACAGAGAAAUGUAAUCAACCACCUGUAACAUCACUAUCGGGUAGAUUUGUGUUUGUUUCAGUAUCACGGCAAUAUUUGCAAAUGUGUGAACUAGAAAUAUUCACAGUUUCUGGAAAUUAACCUGAGCGGGUCAUUCGACAAAAACUAAGGUGAAAAUAAAUAGCUGCCGGUGAAAACAAAGAGUUUUAUUGUUAAAAUACAUUUUUCUGUUUUUCAAUUACAUAUUUCAUACAAUUGUAAAAUUUAAUAAGCUGUUUUAGAUGACUUAUAUAAAGAAGAAUUUAUAGCCUAAUUUUAUCCUAUGCUGUUGCUUCAUUUUGCCGUUGUUUUUUUUUCUGGCAAUGAAUCGAUUUGCUUAUAUUUUAAUUUUAUUACAAUUGUCUGCGCUUAGUGUAUAUUACUGCGAAUACAUGUUUGUUGUUAAGACUUUGAGCAAAAAGUAAAAUGCUUAUCUGAAUAAAACUUGAACAAAAUGAA